rnacentral:rRNA from 1 species
UACGUAGGGACCGAGCGUUGUCCGGAAUCAUUGGGUGUAAAGGGUCCGCAGGCGGAUGUGUAAGUCGGAGGUGAAAUCUUCCCGCUCAACGGGAAAACUGCUUUCGAUACUGCACGUCUUGAGUACGGGAGAGGGUGGUGGAAUUCCUGGUGUAGCGGUGAAAUGCGUAGAUAUCAGGAAGAACACCGGUAGCGAAGGCGGCCACCUGGCCCGUUACUGACGCUCAGGGAAGAAAGCGUGGGGAGCAAACAGG